CGCCUCGAUUUGCUUUGCACCGACAGACUGGAACUCAACACGCAGCACACAGUUGUUUGUAAUAAGGGCUCACCAUGUCUAUUUCUUAUCUGUUUGGUUCAUUAUUGACAAUCCUGUUAAUUCAAGGCUGUUGGGGUGGAGAAGAAACCAAGAAUGUUAGUUGUGCAAGCCUCCGAACUGGAAAUGCUUACAAAUACUGUGUAAAGGACAAGGAAAAUCCUAAAUGUGUGGAGUGGCAAUCAGUGGAUUCCAAUAAGACGUCUAUGUGGCUUGCUGAACUUUGCCAACACAAAAACACUACACAUGCACCCAAUGUGAUUGAUGUCAGCUACUCCUGCAUCACCCUCCUGGAGUGUGUCAACGUAGACCACACUGCCAUAAGCAAUGUGACUGAGCAUUUGACCCAUUUCGUUGUGUUUGGUGCAUCAGGUGAGAUGUGUAUAUUGCUUUUCAAGUUUGAGGAGCCUCCUUGUUUAAUAGUUUUUUUCUAGU
rnacentral:lncRNA from 1 species